AUUAUUUUUGUGGCCCAGGAGGUGUCUGGGCAAGUGACCAAGGGAAAUGAUUGUUGCAAAUGAGCAUCAUGCCAGUGCCCAGGGCAGUGGCUGGAGCAGAGGACCGAGAAUUGGCUCACGUGAGUAUGGAGACUGAGAAAUCCUAAGAUCUGCAGUUGGCCAGCUGGAGACUCAGGAGAGCCGAUGGUGUAGUUCCAGGAGAGCCAAUGGUACAAAUUCCAGUCCAAAAGCCAGCAGCUUAAGACCCAAGAAGAGUCUAAAGGCAGGAAGACCAGUGUCCCAGCUCAAGGGUGUCCUGGAGGUCAGCGACUGCAGUGGGUGAUGACUCGAUCCUUGGAGAACUGGAUGAAAAUAUAAUGCUUACUCGAAGGCAUCUGAGGCUUUACUCGGAAUCUUCCAUUGUCAAGUCACUGGCUCGCAUUUUAUCCUCAGC